AAUGUGGGACAAUGGUGGAAACCCUGACCCAGCCAUCCCGCGUGUCUUAUGAAGGCCUUCGGGUUGUACAGUAUCAUAGGCAGAGAAGAAAAGGUAUCCCCUCAUACAGGAUACUGCUGACGGUACCUGCAGCAUAAGCACCGGCCAACUACGCGCCAGCCGCCGCGGUAAUAAGUAGGGUGCAAGCUUCAAUCGGAAUUACGGGGCGUAAAGCGUGUGUAGGCGGUUCGGAAAGAAAGAUGUGAAAUCACAGGGCUCAACCUUGGAACUGCAUUAUUAACUGCCGGGAUAGAAUAUGUCAGAGGAGGGUAGAAUUCCACGUGUAGCAGUGAAAUGCGUAGAUAUGUGGAGGAAUACCGAUGGCGAAGGCGGCCCCCUGGAAUAAUACUAACGAUCAGAAACGAAAACGUGGGGAGCAAACAGG
rnacentral:rRNA from 1 species